AUGGACAUCCUACCUUAUCGCUGUGAAAAGAUGGUAAUAAGGUCACAACAGGACAGAGAAGCACUGAACAUGCUGGAGGCACAAACUGUGCGAGUAAAAGUAGAUGGAGUUGAACGAUACGCCACUCCGCUUUUGAGAGUUAAAACUAUGCCCCUGUUACAUGCUCCAAAGGAUGCUGUGAUGUGCCACCUCCGUAGCACUGAACGUCGGUUAGCAAAGGACCUACCAUUAGCUAACAAGUACAAAGAAGAGAUCCAGAAAUUGGAGAGAGCUGGUUAUGCCACUAAGAUAUCAUCUGAAGAAGCAGCCCAAUCUACAGAAUCAUGGUAUCUACCCCACCAUCUUGUCACCCACAAUGGUAAACAUAGAGUGGUGUUUAACUGCUCAUACACCUACAAUGGUCAAAAUCUAAACAAGCUUCUGUUACCUGGACCGACGCUGGGCCCCUCUCUCCUUGGAGUGUUGAUCCGCUUCAGAGAACAUCAAGUAGCCAUCAGUGGAGACAUAAAGGGAAUGUUCCAUCAGGUCCGCCUGCUCCCCAGAGACAAACCCCUCCUAAGGUUCUUGUGGCGAGAUCUAAAGCCUGAAAACCCACCUGAUGUAUAUGAGUGGCAGGUUCUUCCAUUUGGCACAACCUGUAGCCCCUGUUGUGCGACAUUCGCAGUACAGCGACACGUUUUUACUCAUUGCCAGCCGGGUGAUAAGUUACGACAGUCAGUUGAACGCUGCUUUUAUGUCGACAACUGUUUACAGAGCACUGCAUCCUUAACUGAAGCCAAGGAGCUGAUUAAUGGGUUAAGGUCCCUACUGGCUUCAGGCGGGUUUGAAAUCCGUCAGUGGGCGAGCAACGAAGCCUCAGUGGUUAGCCAUCUUCCCAAAGAGGCUAGAUCAGAGAACACUGAGUUGUGGAUUUCCCUCAGCCAAUCAGAUCCUCAAGAGAUGACCCUGGGAUUAAACUGGCGGUGCGUUCUAGACACCCUCCAUUACCGUCAUCGUCCUCUAUCCUACCAUGAGGUAACAAUGAGAAACAUUUACCGUGUUCUCGCCAGCCAGUAUGACCCCUUGGGUUACAUGAUACCUUUCACAACCAGGGCUAAAACCUUAGUGCGACAACUGUGGGUGAAGGAAAGAGAAUGGGAUGACCCCCUUCUUCCUUCAGAACUGCUACGGGCCUGGCAAAAAUGGGAAGCAGAACUGGAACAUCUACCACUGAUCACCAUACCUCGGUGUUAUGUGUCAGCCAUGCUAGAUGUCCCAGAGGCAGAACGAGAACUUCACAUCUUCUGCGACGCCUCUGAGACAGCCUAUGGAUCAGUAGCAUACCUCCGUACUGAACACCAAGGCCAAGUGGAAGUGGCAUUCAUCCACGCCAGAUCAAGAGUAUCUCCAAAAAGGCAACAGUCAAUGCCUCGGCUUGAACUCUGUGCUGCCCUCACUGGAGCACAGUUAGCCAAGAUACUUCAUAAUGAGCUCUCAUUGGAAAUUAGGAACACAUUCUUGUGGAGUGACUCAACAACAGUACUCACCUGGCUGAAAUCGGAGUCCUGCAGAUUUAAAGUUUUUGUAGGAACCAGAGUAACCGAGAUACAAGAACUUACAGAAGGUCAUUGCUGGCGCUACGUAGAUUCAGUUAACAAUGUUGCAGAUGACAUCACACGUGGCAAAACCUUGCUUGAAUUAUCCCAACCCAAUCGAUGGUGUAAAGGGCCAGACUUCCUCUACCUACCACCCGCAUCAUGGCCAGAAACUCCUGCCAUUGGGCUGAAUGAUGACCCCACCGAGCUUCGUAACACAAAGUUUUGUGGCCUCACUUUGACUUAUACUGGAUUAUCACUGCCAGAUGCUACCCAGUUCUCAACCUUUGAGGAACUCCUGGAAGCUACUUGCAGAUCCAGUCAGGGGUUGGUGGGGGAAACGGGUGACCCAGGAGCACCGGAGUACCAGCAGUCUGAAUCAAGUCUUUUGAGGCAAGCCCAAUUAGACAGUUUCCCCACAGAAUAUCAAGCUUUAACAACUGGCAAGCCGAUCCCUUUGUCCAGUCGUCUGCUCACAUUGUCACCAGAGUUGGAUAAAACGACUGCACUCAUCCGUGUAGGAGGGACGACUGCGCCGAGCUACCAACCUGAGUUACAGUACUCUGCACCCCAUAGUCUUGGACCCAAAACACCCUAUUACCCGCCUCCUUAUAAAGCAGUAUGA
ensembl:lncRNA